CAAGCUCAGCAGGCAGGAGAAAAAGAAGAAGAAAACCUGGGGCUGCUUUUUUUCCCCCUUGGCAGAAGUGUCCGGCCCCUUUCAAUGAUGCAAAACUAUUCAUUCUGGAGGAAACCCAGUUCUUCAGUAAACUAUUUCACUCUGCUAAAACAACCCAGCUCCUGUAAGUUCCAAGGCGUCCAUCGUAAUUAUGAUUCAGUUGUUUGGCUUUCACCUUAUUGCUUAUGUAUGAGCGACGCUUUGGUCUUAUUCUGUUUCUGUUAGAAGGAUGCACCUUACUGCGCGCCCCCCCCAAUAAAACAACGGCUCAUAAUAGCCAGGGCUGUACAGUGGUACCUCGGAUUAUGAAUAGGAUCCGUUCCAGAGGUCUGGCUGGAUUCCAAGGUUUUCGCAACCUGGGGAUCAUUGUUAUACGCAUGUGCACGGCGGUAGGCCGCUUCUGCGCAUGCGCACACCACAAAACCCGGUCAAACCUGAGGGUUGCGUAACCUGAGGUGCUACUGUAUUGAUGAGCUGUUUUUUACAUUGAGAUGUAAGUAUAAUGGGGGUGGUUCAUUUUUCCUUUGGCUGCUUUGUCCUUUGUGUCUGAUACAACGAUUGCCUUUUUUUCCAAAAAAAGACAAACAUUCAUCACUAAUAAUAAUAGAACUCUGGAAGAGGCUGAUAAGGCAACAAGACUUUAGCGGUUGCGUGCGUAUCAAUUACAAAUGGCUGACUUUGCAGGCUCAAAAGCAUUCCCAUCUCCCAAAGGCAUUUUCUGCUUUAAAAAGAAAAUGGCAGUAGUCAGGUUAAGCAAGCAAGACAUUAAUAAUCAUAGUGUUAUAAGAAUUUAAGGUCUCAAAUAUAUAAAUUAAAUGUUCAUAAAUGUACAAGGCAAACACAUACAUAAGUAUAUAAACCAUGUGUCUGAAAUAGUACAGGAGAACAAUCCUGAAACCAUUUUGACUCUCCCAGUGACCUCAAAUAUUCCUCUGCAGUGAGGAAAGAAAUGAGAAAAGCCUCCCCAUUGUCUCUUUGCUCACAAAUCCUGUCUUAAGGACAUAUUUGUGUAGGAAUAGGGUGAGCCUGUGACCUGGAUUCAGGAACUAAGUAUUUAGCAUCUCAAAAGGAAUGGUCAGGCUGCCCAAGUAAAGCAAUCAGUGACCAUUAUCAGGUAUCAUGACAAACAGGAUUUGGGUUGGAGACCGCCUCCUUCAGUGAUGUAUGUAUGGUGUUUUGGGGGGUUGUCUUGAGCUAGAGGGUGGGCAAUUUCAGAAGUCUGUAUAAGGGCUUGCGCACCAUUCUUCAGGGUCCCUCCUGCCUCCUGCGUGUGGUGAGUGAGGACCCUGUUGCAACAGUUAAUGAAGAUCAGACUUGCUAGCUGCCUUACUUCUCAAUAUUCUUUGGUUGGCCUCUGUUAUCUUCUCCUACCGAUAGAGAACCUACAUAAGGACUCUAUACGGGCUCUUGAAUACCCCAUAAGGGAAAGGGAGCAGUUUUGUCUUAAAACCAUAGCCGACAUAAGCGUAACUGAAAGAUGGGAUGACCAUGAUGGGGAGCAGGAAGAGUCCACUGUCAAUCACACUGGGCAAAAGGAGUUCUGGCUGCAGAAGGUGUUGUUGAGAUUGAACAAGAGAGGAAAAGAGGCUUCCAUGACGAUGGAAAAGGUGCGUAAAGGAAAAUCCACUAGCUCUCAUCAAUAGGGAAGCAACCAGUUUGACAGCCACCUCAAGCAUAAUGUAAAAAUACAGAGAAAGAGAGAGAUUUCAGUAUCCAAGAAUACACCAAAGGAAGUGAAUUUGUUAUGGGUACAUAUAUGAUUCUGUUUAGCAGUGUCUAGGGAUGUGGGUGUCACUGUGGUCUAAAUCACUGAGCCUCUUGGGCUUGCUGAUCAGAAGGUCGGUGGUUCAAAUCCCCGCGAUGGAGUGAGCUCCCAUUGCUUGGUCCAGCUCCUGCCAACCUAGCAGUUCAAAAGCACCAGUGCAAGUAGAUAAAUAGGUACCGCUCCAGCGGGAAGGUAAACAGUGUUUCUGUGUGCUCUGGAUUCUAUCACUGUGUUCCGUGGCACCAGAAGCAGUUUAGUCAUGUUGGCCACAUGACCCGGAAAGCUGUCUGUGGACAAACGCUGGCUCCCUUGGACUGGAAGCAAGAUGAGCCCCACAACCCCAUAGUCACCUUUGACUGGACUUAACUUUCCAGGGGUCCUUUAUCUUUACCUAUGUUAGACUUUUACCUCUACCUAUUUUAGACUCGGGUGGCACUGUGGGUUAAACCACAGAGCCUAGGACUUGCUGAUCAGAAGGUCGGCGGUUCGAAUCCCUGCGACGGGGUGAGCUCCCGUUGCUUGGUCCCUGCUCCUGCCAACCCAGCAGUUCAAAAGCACAUAAAGUGCAAGUAGAUAAAUAGGUACCGCUCCAGCGGGAAGGUAAACGGUGUUUCUGUGUGCUGCUCUGGUUCACCAGAAGCGGCUUAGUCAUGCUGGCCACAUGACCCAGAAGCUGUACGCCGGCUCCCUCGGCCAAUAAAGCGAGAUGAGCGCUGCAACCCCAGAGUCGGUCACGACUGGACCUAACGGUCAGGGGUCCCUUUACCUCUUAUGUUAGACUGUAAGCCAGUUUACUAAUGUGUCCAGCACAGCACCAUUUUUAAGAUUAUUAUUUAGGCAAUAACCCCAAGUUUCUGAGUUGGCAAAGUGCCCUGGGUGAUGCGUGACAUAGGUUCAAGGCCGCGCUGGGUCACUGAUCUGGAUCAUCAGCUGUCGUGCCUAAAAAUCCACUUCUUUUUCUUCUACAACAGCUCAUCAGAUCAGACCAUCGACUGAGCAAGGGAUGGUCGUGUUUUUUACCCGGAGGUUUCCUGUGGUGAGCAAUGUUGAGAGUGAUGUUUGAGCCUCAAAUCCAGCCUUGCAGUUCUCCUUGAAGGCAGACCCCCUUGCCUUAUUUGAAUGCUUAAUCUGCAUACCGAGGCAGCCGCUCCAGGGUUAUGCAAAUUCCUGAAGCAGAUGGUUGCGGCUGAGCUGCAAAUAACAAAGCAAAGGAUGAAGUGGAACAUUCUGAAACUGGCGCUGUCAGGGGAAUGCCUUUGUUUGAAUUUCAUAUUUUGAAACGUGACAGGCAAGAGUGCCUUGCACAUUCGACAGGUAGGUUUAGGCAGCAGGUGGAGUGAUGGUGGAAAGAGAAUUGAGGUUGGGGUGGAGCUAUUUUCCUAUCUGAGAUUAUUAUUAUUAUUUUUAAAAAGAUGUUUUUAUUUGUUUUUUCAAAUAUAAAUGUAUAACACAAGCAAACACAUUUCCCACAUCCCCCUCAUUUAUAACACAUAUACCUCAGGUUACAUACGCUUCAGGUUACAUACGCUUCAGGUUACAGACUCCGCUAACCCAGAAAUAGUACCUCGGGUUAAGAACUUUGCUUCAGGAUGAGAACAGACAUUGUGCUCUGGCAGCUUCAGGUUAAGAACGGACAGUUUCAGGUUAAGAACGGACCUCCGAAACCAAUUAAGUACUUAACCCGAGGUACCACUGUACAGAGAUUUCUCUGAAUCUCAAGACCUCCCCCUCCCCUCCGUGGGUCCUAAUGUAAACGUUUUCAGCUGCAUAUUCUAUCACAGUCUAUAUUUUGUAUCUCUCCAUAUUGUCCACAGUAUUUGUUACAUUACAAGUGUUGUUAAAACCCUGCUAAUGUUUUCAUCUGCUUACAGUGGCCUCCUAAAUAAAUUAUAUUUUUCCCCCAUUCUUUCUUGAAGUUUUUGUCAUCUUGGUUCCUGAGCUUUCUGGUCAGUUUUGCCAUUUCAGCGUAAUCCAUCAGCUUAGUUUGCCAUUCCUCUCUGGUAGGGACUUUGUCUUCUUUCCAUCUCUGGGCUAGUAACAUCCACGCAGCUGUUGUCGCAUACAUAAAAAGUCUUUUCUGCUCCUUUGGGAUGUCGGUACCUACUAUUCCCAAUAAAAAAAGCUUCUAGGUUUUUUUAAUAAUAAUAAUAAUUUAUUAUUUGUACCCCGCCCAUCUGGCUGGGUUUCCCCAGCCACUCUGGGCGGCUUUCACAAAAACUAAAAAUACACUAAGAUGUCACACAUUAAGAACUUCCCUGAACAGGGCUGCCUUAAGAUGUCUUCUGAAUGUCAGGUAGUUGUUUUUCUCUUUGACAUCUGGUGGGAGGGCGUUCCACAGGGCGGGUGCCACUACCGAGAAGGCCCUCUGCCUGGUUCCCUGUAGCUUUGCUUCUCGCAAUGAGGGAACCGCCAGAAGGCCCUCAGCACGAUCUCAGCAUCCGGGCAGAACAAUGUGGGUGGAGACGCUCCUUCAAGUAUACUGGGCCAAGGCCAUUUAGGGCUUUAAAGGUCAACACCAACACUUUGAAUUGUGCUCGGAAACAUACUGGGAGCCAAUGUAGGUCUUUCAAGACCGGAGUUAUGUGGUCUUGGUGGCUACUGCCAGUCAGCAGUCUAGCUGCCGCAUUCUGGAUUAGUUGUAGUUUCCGGGUCACCUUCAAAGGUAGCCCCACGUAGAGCGCAUUGCAGUAGUCCAAGCAGGAGAUAACUAGAGCAUGCACCACUCUGGCGAGACAAAGUUAUUUUAAACAUUUUUUUUUCAGUUCAUUAUAUAUCAUUUCCCAGAAAGCUUUGAUUAUCGUGUAGGGGUUAGAGUGUCGGAUUAUGACCUGGGAGUUAAAAUGAGGGGCGGGGGGAAGAGAACUCUAUAUGCCACUUUGAGCUUACUGGAAGAAAGGUGGGAUAUAACCAUAUGAUCCUGCUUGGACCCUGAGAUCAUCUUCUGAGGCCCUCCUUCGUGUGCCUCCUUCUCGAGAGGUGCGGAAGGUGGCAGUACAAGAACGAAUGGGCCUUUUUUUGCAGUGGCUCCCUGACUGUGGAAUGCUAUCCCCAGGGAAGUUCGCCAGGCAAAAACAUUCUCUCUCUUUCUCACACAGACACACACACACACACACACACACACACACACACAAAACACAUAAUCAUUAUCCACUAUACCACUCUGACUCUUAGAACCUGUUGAAUUCCUUCCCUCCCACCUCAUGGCUUUCAAAAUUAACCUUCAUAUGAUUGCAAUUUAUACGUUUUCCAAUUCUAAUUACACUCAUUACAGAAUGACUCAAAAUUUAUAGAACUAUAGAAAGGUAGAAAAUUUCCCGUUGCCAGUCUUCAGACAACCCUACGAAUGAUGUUAAUUGCUCACACAAUAAUCUUUCAAAUAUUGUAUGAAUUUACUCCAGUCCUUUUGGAAUACUUGAUCAUGCUGGUUUCGGAUUUUUCCUGUCAGCUUCGCCAGUUCUGCAAAGUCCAUCAUCUUCAUUUGCCACUCUUCUUUCAUUGGUACUUCUUGUUGUUUUCAUUUCUGGGCUAAAAGGAUUCUUGUCACAGUUGUUGCAAACAUAAACAGUCUUUUACCUUCAAAAGAAGAUAAAAUGUUCCUUUUUAACCAGGCCUUUGGUUGACCUGAUUGACAUCCUGUUGUUGUUGUUGUUGUUGUUUAGUCAUUUAGUCGUGUCCAACUCUUCGUGACCCCCUGGACCAGAGCACGCCAGGCACUCCUGUCGUCCACUGCCUCCCGCAGUUUGGUCAAACUCAUGCUGGUAGCUUCAAGAACACUGUCCCACCAUCUCGUCCUCUGUCGUCCCCUUCUCCUUGUGCCCUCCAUCUUUCCCAACAUCAGGGUCUUUUCCAGGGAGUCUUCUCUUCUCAUGAGGUAGCCAAAGUAUUGGAGCCUCAGCUUCAGGAUCUGUCCUUCCAGUGAGCACUCAGGGCUGAUUUCCUUAAAAAUGGACAUGUUUGAUCUUCUUGCAAUCCAUGGGACUCUCAAGAGUCUCCUCCAGCACCAUAAUUCAAAAGCAUCAAUUCUUCGGUGGUCCAGCUCUCACUUCCUAUACCCUUUUAAAAUGUGGCUCUUGGGAGGUGUUAUUGGAUUAUUGUUCUUAUUUUGAUUUUAUAUAUUGCGAUCUUUUCUGUGAACUGCCCUGAGACCUUCGGGUAUAGGCCGGUAUAAUAAUAAUAAUAAUAAUAAUAAUAAUAAUAAUAAUAAUUUAUUUAUAUCCCGCCCUCCCCAGCCGAAGCCGGGCUCAGGGCGGCUAACAACAAUCAAAUAAUCAAACAAUCAAAUAAUCAAACAUUCUAAAAACAUUUCAUUAUAAAAAUUAAUUAAAAUCAAAUUAAUGGCAACCGUUGAGCAAAAUUCUGUGCAGGUUGCCAGAGGAGGGAGUCAGGCUGGGCCCUGACCAAAGGCCUGGUGGAACAACUCUGUCUUGCAGGCCUUGUGGAAAGAUGUCAGGUCCCGCAGGGCCCUGGUCUCUUGUGACAGAGCGUUCCACCAGAUUGGAGCCGCAGCCGAGAAAGCCCUGGCUCUAGUUGAGGCCAGCCUAACCUCUCUGUGGCCUGGGAUCUUCAGGAUGUUUUUAUUUGCAGACCGUAAAUUUCUCUGUGGGACAUACCAGGAGAGGCGGUCCCCUAGGUACGAGGGUCCUAGGCCGUAUAGGGCUUUAAAGGUUAAAACCAGCACCUUAAACCUGAUCCUGUACUCCACCGGGAGCCAGUGCAGCUGGUAUAGCACCGGGUGAAUGUGAUCUCGCAGCGAAGACCCCGUAAGGAGUCUCGCUGCAGCAUUCUGCACCCGCUGGAGUUUCUGGGUCAGUCUCAAGGGCAGCCCCACGUAGAGCGAGUUACAAUAAUCCAGUCUGGAGGUGACCGUCGCGUGGAUCACAGUGGCUAGGUCAGGGCGAGAGAGAUAAGGGGCAACUGCUUAGCUUGGCGGAGAUGAAAAAAUGCCGCCUUUGUUAUAGCUGUAAUCUGCGCCUCCAUAGAGAGGGAGGUAUCGAAGAUUACACCCAGACUCUUAACGGACGGUGCUGGCACUAAUUGCACCCCCGCCAGAGAUGGGAGUUGCCCCCCCAAUCCCAUAUCGUCCCGUCCCAGCCAGAGGACCUCUGUCUUCGAAGGAUUUAACUUCAACCGGCUUCCACGUAACCAUCCAGCCACAGCUUCCAAACAUCUGGUCAGUGUGUCUGGGGCCGAGUCAGGAUGGCCAUCCAUCAACAGAUAGAGUUGGGUGUCAUCGGCAUACUGAUGGCAACCCAGCCCAAAACUCCGGACAAGCUGGGCGCAUAAAGAUGUUAAAAAGCAUCGGGGAGAGUAUCGCACCCUGAGGCACUCCACACACCAAGGAGUGGCGCGAUGACAAUUCCCCCCCAAGCGCCACCCUCUGUCCCCGACCAGAGAGAAAUGAGCGCAGCCAUUGGAGGACCGUGCCCUGGAUCCCCACGUCGGAAUAAAUAUAAAUCAAUAAAUAUAAUCAAUAAAUAUAUUGAUUAUAAAUAUAAAUAUAAUCAAUAAAUAUAAAUAUAUAUAAAUGUAAACAAUAAAUGCAGCUAAGUCCCCUUUGCGCUGUGUUGAAUACACAUUGUUUUUAAAAUGCAAUAAAAACAGUUUACGAUAACAUAAACAUACUUCUAUAAUGCCCAGCAAAACUAAGGGGCGUCUGUAAAUAAUAUCUCCAAGCAUCUUGAGCCAUCAUGACAUAUUAUCUUUUGCAGGGAAAAGCCAAACGAAAAGUAUGAUUGACAGCCAACCGGACCUGCUGAAAAAUUAGCUCCUGGUCCCAUACUGGUAACAGAUAGUGAAUUACACUGCCUCAGACAUUGGGAUGCAAAUUCAACCUUCUCAGCUGUGGCCGGACACAUUCUAUCACAUAGAAACGAGCAUUAAUUAAAGGAGAGGACCAGAUGCCGGAAUGAAGCAUAUGUGAGCACAAGAUGGGAUACAACGUUGGCUGGCUGCUGGCAUCCUCUGCCCCCUGGGCAUGGCAGUGACACUCGCCCCGGGCACAGGGAAACAUACAAGCGCUCAUUAGCUCUUUCGGGCUGAUCUGAUACGGCUGUCCAAUUCCUCCCUAGCUGUCUGCGUAAAUGACGGAGUUGUGAACAUAGCCGGCAGAGCUGGCAAUCUAGUUAUUAGACACGGUGUUUAACUCGAGUCUUAAGUUUUCCUCAAGUUUCACCCCAUAAUUAUUAGGCCUGGGACUUCCACUGUGUUUGUGCAGGUGGAUAUUAGAUUUUCUAUCAGACCGUUCCCAAAGGGUCAGGAUGGUUUCCCACAUCUCUGCAGAUCUCAUCAUGAAUGGGGACGCCACAGGGGUGCGUGUUGAGCCUGCUUUUAUAUAAGCUCUAUACAGCUGACUGUGCCCCCAAAUACCCCAGUAAUAAGAUCAUUAAGUUUGCAGAUGAUAAAACGGUGGUUGGUUUAAUCACGGCUGGAGAGGGGGAGGCAGCCUAUAGGAAGGAAGUUGAGCAGUUGGGGGAGUGGUGCAGGAAAAACAACUUACUCCUUAACUUAAAGAAAACAAAAGAGAUUAUUAUGGACUUUAGGAAAUGUAAAUUGAAUAUUCAGCCACUUAUUAUUGAGGGGAAGUGCGUGGAACAGGUCUCGGUGUUUCGAUUUCUGGGAAUGGAGUUGAGAGAUGACCUAACCUGGGGAGAAACAGCAAAGACCUGAUGAAGAGAGCACAGCAGAAGUUAUAUUUUCUGAGAAUCGUCCGUAAAAACAACCUCUCAAAGGACCUGUUGAUGGCAUUUUACCAUUGUACUGUGGAGAGUGUAUUAACUUAUGGUCUCUGUGUGUGGUUUGGGAGCUGCACGGCCAGG